UACGUAGGGGGCAAGCGUUAUCCGGAAUUACUGGGUGUAAAGGGUGCGUAGGCGGCAAGAUAAGUCAGGUGUGAAAUUCCCGUGCUUAACAUGGGAGCUGCACUUGAAACUGUUUAGCUAGAGUACAGGAGAGGUAAGUGGAAUUCCUAGUGUAGCGGUGAAAUGCGUAGAUAUUAGGAGGAACACCAGUGGCGAAGGCGACUUACUGGACUGUAACUGACGCUGAUGCACGAAAGCGUGGGGAGCAAACAGG
rnacentral:rRNA from 1 species